UGGAGGAACGCCCGGGGGGAAGGGGACUUUAUGGUUUGUAAUUGCCUUUGAGGCGGGAAAGGGUGGGGAGCAAACAGGAUUAGAUACCUUGGUAGUCCACGCCGUAAACGAUGAGUGUUAAGUGUUAGAGGGUUUCCGCCCUUUAGUGCUGAAGUUAACGCAUUAAGCACUCCGCCUGGGGAGUACGGCCGCAAGGCUGAAACUCAAAGGAAUUGACGGGGGCCCGCACAAGCGGUGGAGCAUGUGGUUUAAUUGGAAGCAACGCGAAGAACCUUACCAGGUCUUGACAUCCUCUGAAAACCCUAGAGAUAGGGCUUCUCCUUCGGGAGCAGAGUGACAGGUGGUGCAUGGUUGUCGUCAGCUCGUGUCGUGAGAUGUUGGGUUAAGUCCCGCAACGAGCGCAACCCUUGAUCUUAGUUGCCAUCAUUAAGUUGGGCACUCUAAGGUGACUGCCGGUGACAAACCGGAGGAAGGUGGGGAUGACGUCAAAUCAUCAUGCCCCUUAUGACCUGGGCUACACACGUGCUACAAUGGACGGUACAAAGAGCUGCAAGACCGCGAGGUGGAGCUAAUCUCAUAAAACCGUUCUCAGUUCGGAUUGUAGGCUGCAACUCGCCUACAUGAAGCUGGAAUCGCUAGUAAUCGCGGAUCAGCAUGCCGCGGUGAAUACGUUCCCGGGCCUUGUACACACCGCCCGUCACACCACGAGAGUUUGUAACACCCGAAGUCGGUGGGGUAACCUUUUGGAGCCAGCCGCCU
rnacentral:rRNA from 1 species